rnacentral:rRNA from 2 species
UACGAAGGGGGCUAGCGUUGUUCGGAUUUACUGGGCGUAAAGCGCACGUAGGCGGAUUGGUCAGUUAGGGGUGAAAUCCCAGAGCUCAACUCUGGAACUGCCUUUAAUACUGCCAGUCUAGAGUCCGGAAGAGGUAAGUGGAACUCCUAGUGUAGAGGUGGAAUUCGUAGAUAUUAGGAAGAACACCAGUGGCGAAGGCGGCUUACUGGUCCGGUACUGACGCUGAGGUGCGAAAGCGUGGGGAGCAAACAGG